rnacentral:pre_miRNA from 1 species
GAAGAAGGUACUGCUCCUUCUCCUAUACCCAUUGCAUAUCGGAGUUGUUAAUUCUCAAAGCACCUCCUGUGUGCAUGGAUUACAGGAGGAUGAGCCUUGUCAUCAU